UACAGAGGUGGCAAGCGUUGUUCGGAAUUACUGGGCGUAAAGGGCGCGUAGGCGGCCAUCUAAGUCAGACGUGAAAUCCCUCGGCUUAACCGGGGAACUGCGUCUGAUACUGGAUGGCUUGAGUUUGGGAGAGGGACGCGGAAUUCCAGGUGUAGCGGUGAAAUGCGUAGAUAUCUGGAGGAACACCGGUGGCGAAGGCGGCGUCCUGGACCAACACUGACACUGAUGAGCGAAAGCCAGGGGAGCAAACGGG
rnacentral:rRNA from 1 species